rnacentral:rRNA from 1 species
UACAGAGGAUGCAAGCGUUAUCCGGAAUGAUUGGGCGUAAAGCGUCUGUAGGUGGCUUUUUAAGUCCGCCGUCAAAUCCUAGGGCUCAACCCUGGACAGGCGGUGGAAACUACCAAGCUGGAGUACGGUAGGGGCAGAGGGAAUUUCCGGUGGAGCAGUGAAAUGCGUAGAGAUCGGGAAGAACGCCCAUAGCGAAGGCACUCUGCUGGGCCGACACUGACACUCAGAGACGAAAGCUAGGGGAGCGAAUGGG